AAAAGCUCUGACCAAGCUGGCAGCUCCACAAGCCACGAGGCAGAGCUAGAAGUGAUCCAGUUGUACACAGGACCCAGGAGUUACCCUGGAAGAGGACACACUUUGUAAUAAGAAGAUUGAUCACACAAGGAUAUUCCAAGGCCUAACUGUUUGUACCUACAAGAAGCCACUGGGCACUGUCAACAUUCUGACAGGUGAGCUCCCCAGCCAAAGCCACUGGAUCAUCAGAAGGAUCUUUCUACUAUCAAAUUGGAGGAAGACUUGACAAGGAAGUUGAAAAUAACAGAACUCUCAGAUUGGCCUGGUCACAGAGAAAGUCACUCUGGUUAUUUUCCAGCCAUGAAGUCAGUUAACCAAGUUAGGCUCUUCGACCUCCUGCUGGCAGGUCUGAAGAGAAUCAUUUCUGAGAAAAUGUGAAAAGGACCCAACAUGUGGGGAAAGAGGAAUAAUGACAGGUCUGGAGACAAGGACGGACAGAAGGAAGGGGUGUUGUCCGCGCUCCCCAGGAGGCUUCGAUUCCACCGGAACACACGGAGCAAGAUGAAAACGCACACCAAGAGCACACGGGCUUCGCUGCCACCUGC